rnacentral:rRNA from 1 species
UCGUCAGCUCGUGUCGUGAGAAAUUGGGUUAAGUCCCGCAACGAGCGCAACCCUUGCUAUUAGUUGCUACGCAAGAGCACUCUAAUAGGGCAAAAAAAUGACAAAUCGGAGGAAGGUGGGGACGACGUCAAAUCAUCAUGCCCCUUAUGACCUGGGCUACACACGUACUACAAUGGACGAUAACAGAGGGAAGCAAAAUAGCGAUAUGGAGCGAACCCCUAAAAACGUUCUCAGUUCAGAUUGCAGGCUGCAACCCGCCUGCAUGAAGUCGGAAUUGCUAGUAAUCGCGGAUCAGCAUGCCGCGGUGAAUACGUUCCCGGGCCUUCUACACGGGAAAAAGUCACACCAUGGGAGCCGGUAAUACCCGAAGUCAGUAGUUCAACCGCAAGGAGAGCGCUGCCGCCCCCCCCUUUGGAGGUGGCGACUGGGGUGAAGUCGUAACAAGGUAGCCGUA